UACUGAGUCAAUGUGGAGGUUAUAUACAGGGGUACCGGUACUGAGUCAAUGUGGAGGCUAUAUACAGGGGUACCAGUACUGAGUCAGUGUGGAGGCUAUAUACAGGGGGUACCAGUACUGAGUCAGUGUGGAGGCUAUAUACAGGGGGUACCAGUACUGAGUCAGUGUGGAGGCUAUAUACAGGGGGUACCAGUACUGAGUCAGUGUGGAGGCUAUAUACAGGGGGUACCGGUACUGAGUCAGUGUGGAGGCUAUAUACAGGGGGUACCAGUACUGAGUCAGUGUGGAGGCUAUAUACAGGGGGUACCAGUACUGAGUCAGUGUGGAGGCUAUAUACAGGGGGUACCAGUACUGAGUCAGUGUGGAGGCUAUAUACAUGGGGUACCAGUACUGAGUCAGCGUGCUGGGGUACAGGUCAUUUAUACAUGUAGGUAGGGGUGAAGUGACUAUGUAAUACACAUAGGGAAUAGGGUGCCAUUGGGCCCUGAUCUAAAGUAGUACACUAUAUAGAGAAUAGGGUGUAAUUUCACACACAGCCUCUGUCAGGUGUGUCAGCGUUUACUGCUAACCUGACCCCAUAACAACCCAAGCCUGGUCUCUGCUAACCUGACCCCAUAACAACCCA
ensembl:lncRNA